rnacentral:rRNA from 1 species
AGCAGCCGCGGUAAUUCCAGCUCCAAUAGCGUAUAUUAAAGUUGCUGCAGUUAAAAAGCUCGUAGUUGAAUUUCGGGACUGAUAUGUCGGUCGUGCCUCGGUACGUACUGGUAUUUUUGGUUUCUCCCUUCUGACGAACCUUGAUGUCAUUAAUUUGGUGUCUUGGGAAAUCAGGACUGUUACUUUGAAAAAAUUAGAGUGUUUAAAGCAGGCUCACGCUUGAAUACAUUAGCAUGGAAUAAUGAAAUAGGACGUUUGAUUCUAUUUUGUUGGUUUCUAGGAUCGACGUAAUGAUUAAUAGGGAUAGUUGGGGGCAUUAGUAUUCAAUUGUCAGAGGUGAAAUUCUUGGAUUUAUUGAAGACUAACUACUGCGAAAGCAUUUGCCAAGGAUGUUUUCAUUAAUCAAGAACGAAAGUUAGGGGAUCGAAGACGAUCAGAUACCGUCGUAGUCUUAACCAUAAACUAUGCCGACUAGGGAUCGGAUGAUGUUAAUUUAAUGACUCA